rnacentral:rRNA from 1 species
UGGGGAAUUUUGGACAAUGGGGGAAACCCUGAUCCAGCCAUCCCGCGUGUGCGAUGAAGGCCUUCGGGUUGUAAAGCACUUUUGGCAGGAAAGAAACGUCAUGGGUUAAUACCCCGUGAAACUGACGGUACCUGCAGAAUAAGCACCGGCUAACUACGUGCCAGCAGCCGCGGUAAUACGUAGGGUGCAAGCGUUAAUCGGAAUUACUGGGCGUAAAGCGUGCGCAGGCGGUUCGGAAAGAAAGAUGUGAAAUCCCAGGGCUCAACUUUGGAACUGCAUUUUUAACUACCGGGCUAGAGUGUGUCAGAGGGAGGUGGAAUUCCGCGUGUAGCAGUGAAAUGCGUAGAUAUGCGGAGGAACACCGGUGGCGAAGGCAGCCUCCUGGGAUAACACUGACGCUCAUGCACGAAAGCGUGGGGAGCAAACAGG